UACGUAGGGGGCGAGCGUUGUCCGGAGUUACUGGGCGUAAAGCGCACGCAGGCGGUCUGCUAAGUUUGGAGUGACAGUUGGUGGCUUAACUGCCAAAGUGCUUCGAAAACUGGCAGACUUGAGGGCUUCAGAGGGACACGGAAUUCCGGGUGGAGUGGUGAAAUGCGUAGAGAUCCGGAGGAACACCAAAGGCGAAGGCGGUGUCCUGGGGAGUACCUGACGCUCAGGUGCGAAAGCCAGGGGAGCGAACGGG
rnacentral:rRNA from 1 species